rnacentral:rRNA from 1 species
GACGAACGCUGGCGGCGUGCCUAAUACAUGCAAGUCGAACGCAUUUUCUUUCACCGUAGCUUGCUACACCGAAAGAAAAUGAGUGGCGAACGGGUGAGUAACACGUGGGUAACCUGCCCAUCAGCGGGGGAUAACACUUGGAAACAGGUGCUAAUACCGCAUAAUUCCAUUUACUGCAUGGUAGAUGGAUGAAAGGCGCUUUUGCGUCACUGAUGGAUGGACCCGCGGUGCAUUAGCUAGUUGGUGGGGUAACGGCCUACCAAGGCUGCGAUGCAUAGCCGACCUGGGAGGGUGAUCGGCCACACUGGGACUGAGACACGGCCCAGACUCCUACGGGAGGCAGCAGUAGGGAAUCUUCGGCAAUGGACGCAAGUCUGACCGAGCAACGCCGCGUGAGUGAAGAAGGUUUUCGGAUCGUAAAACUCUGUUGUUAGAAAGGAACAAGGAUGAGAGUGGAAAGUUCAUCCCUUGACGGUAUCUAACCAGAAAGCCACGGCUAACUACGUG